GCGUUAAUCGGAAUUACUGGGCGUAAAGCGCAUGCAGGUGGUUUGUUAAGUCAGAUGUGAAAGCCCGGGGCUCAACCUCGGAAUUGCAUUUGAAACUGGCAGACUAGAGUACUGUAGAGGGGGGGUAUAAUUUCAGGUGUAGCGGUGAAAUGCGUAGAGAUCUGAAGGAAUACCGGUGGCGAAGGCGGCCCCCUGGACAGAUACUGACACUCAGAUGCGAAAGCGUGGGGAGCAAACAGGAUUAGAUACCCUGGU
rnacentral:rRNA from 1 species